UUAUAGAGUUCCUAUUCUCUUAACUUAUCAUUUGCAAGCUUGCCUUAAAUCAUGAAGGGAGGUAGCGUCAUCGGCGCUUUUCUCUCGCUUACAGCAGCGCUUGCUGGAGCAAGCGAGGUUGACGGAGACACGCCUCCAAGGAGCACGUGCGAUCCGUCUCUUAGCAACAGCACUAUUUUUGAUUAUUCUAUAAAUAACGUUUACGGGAAUGAAUCUAUCGAUCUGUCGUCUCUUCGUGGGAAAGUAACGUUGAUUGUCAACGUGGCUACCUACUGAGGGUACGUUGUACAGUACCAUGGACUGAAUGCACUACAGUCUACCCAUGGUGCUGAAGGUUUCCAGGCUCUUGGUGUACCUUGUAACCAGUUUUACUUGCAAGAGCCAGCUUGGAAUGGUGUGGAGCUGAUGAAUGGACUGAAAUACGUCCGUCCCGGCAACGGGUUCGUUCCAAACUUUCCACUGACAGAAAUUGUCGAUGUAAACGGGUACAAGGAGCACAAAAUGUUUACAUAUCUUAAGUCUCUUUGUCCGACGGUGUACCGUAAGAUCUACACGCCUAUCUUGUACAGUCCGGUUUACACCGAAGACAUCCGAUGGAACUACGAAAAGUUUCUGAUUGGUCCAGAUGGCAGACCUAUUUAUAGAUAUGCCCAGACAGUUGACCCUUCAAGUGAUGUUCAGCUUCUUGCAGACAUUAAACUGGAACUAGCAAAACUAAAAUCUUCAGCAUCUUCAACUGGAGGUGGCGCUUCCGGUUCUGUAGUUGUGGGAUAAGAGUUCCAUAAACAUUUUCAAACAAAUACAUGUAUAGACAUUAACAUAAAAAACAAACAAAAAAGAAAACAAACGAAAACUUAACAUUUUCUUUUAUAUAUUUUUGUAAAUUAGUUUAUAUGAUUUGUCUUUCGUAAACAGGGUUUACCUGUAGAAUGAUAAUGAUCUGUUUGACGGAUACAUUUUCUUGUGCAUUCGAUAUGUAUCUUGAAAACAUAACUAAAAUAAACAUUAAUAUAUA